UUUAGAAAUGUCGUAGCCAUUUGGCAUCUAUAUUUUGUAUACCUUCCACACAACUCGACAAUAAAAAACACACAAUUUUGUAUUAUAAUUUUGAUCUUAUUUUCCAAAAAUCACCGCGAGUUAUUCGAGACGCGUGAUUCCGAUAAGUUCAGCGGAUUCGCAAGUGGAAAACGUUCAAAUUAUAAAGUCGCAGGAGCAGUUAAAACAAAACAUAUUACAUUUGAUUUGGUUCAAGAAGCCCAGAAACAAUUUAUUUGAAUAGAUGGCGGUUUCCGAAUAACGGUUCACGAAUUAGCGGACAACUGGAACUGAUCACUCAUUCAAUAAAUCAACCAAUCAAUCAAACAAACAAACAUCGAUCCACCCAUCGAUAAACCACUGCAAUUUUUUUUUGCCAUCACUUACUACGUUUUCUCAUAUACGUUGUUCACAACACAUCUAGAGGUGGUUGCAUUUGGAUUCAACACUCGUUCUAAUACCCAAUAUUAAUCAUUUGUGAUUUCAUUUAAACAUAUCUACAUAUACAUAUAUACACUUUUUUUUGCUUCUGUGUGUGUGUGUAUAUAUAUAUAUAUAUAUACAUAUAGCGUGUGCAAAUUGUAAGUUGAUGUUGUCAGUACUGCAAUAGCCGCUCAUAGUUCGAUUGCCAACGAGUCGCCACAGCUUGGCUCGGCCAAGUGGAACAUUUAGGGGCCUCCAGCUCCGGGUCUAGCUCCCAUCCAUCCAUCAAUUCAUCCAUUCAUCGGCAGCCGCCAUAGAAAGUGCUGAAGUGCUUGCCACAAACUGGCGCCCGCACAGGACGAAGCCGACCGGCGGCACGUCGCACAAAAAGUUGGCGGAUCCGUUGAUAAUAUUGCAAUUCCAGAGCUGGAGGUGGAUAAGCGGAAAUACCGCCGUCGGCAUCGAAAACUAGCGGAGCAACAAGAACACUUACAACAACAACUACGACUGG
rnacentral:sRNA from 1 species